GACGAACGCUGGCGGCGUGCUUAACACAUGCAAGUCGAACGGAAAGGCCCUGCUUUUGUGGGGUGCUCGAGUGGCGAACGGGUGAGUAACACGUGAGUAACCUGCCCUUGACUUUGGGAUAACUUCAGGAAACUGGGGCUAAUACCGGAUAGGAGCUCCUGCUGCAUGGUGGGGGUUGGAAAGUUUCGGCGGUUGGUGAUGGACUCGCGGCUUAUCAGCUUGUUGGUGGGGUAGUGGCUUACCAAGGCUUUGACGGGUAGCCGGCCUGAGAGGGUGACCGGCCACAUUGGGACUGAGAUACGGCCCAGACUCCUACGGGAGGCAGCAGUGGGGAAUAUUGCACAAUGGGCGGAAGCCUGAUGCAGCAACGCCGCGUGCGGGAUUAUGGCCUUCGGGUUGUAGACCGCUUUCGCCUGUGACGAAGCGUGAGUGACGGUAAUGGGUAAAGAAGCACCGGCUAACUACGUG
rnacentral:rRNA from 1 species